UGUAUUUGCGUGGCACUCCAUUAUACCACACUGAUGGCUUCUCCAAGAUUAUAGAUAUGAUACAUGUAAACAGGCACAGUUACUUGUCAUCACAAGGAUAAGAAUUCAAAUACCAAAGUAGUCCUAACUCCUAAAUCAUCCCGAUUUGUCAAAAGUACAUAGAGCUGUAGCUGAUGGACACAAAUUGUUAAAAAAA